rnacentral:rRNA from 1 species
UACGUAGGGGGCGAGCGUUGUCCGGAUUUAUUGGGCGUAAAGAGCUUGUAGGCGGUUUGGCAAGUCGGGUGUGAAAACUCCGGGCUCAACUCGGAGACGCCACUCGAUACUGCUAUGACUCGAGUCCGGUAGGGGAGUGCGGAAUUCCUGGUGUAGCGGUGAAAUGCGCAGAUAUCAGGAGGAACACCGGUGGCGAAGGCGGCACUCUGGGCCGGUACUGACGCUGAGGCACGAAAGCGUGGGGAGCAAACAGG